GACGAACGCUGGCGGCGUGCUUAACACAUGCAAGUCGAACGGAAAGGCCCUGCUUUUGUGGGGUGCUCGAGUGGCGAACGGGUGAGUAACACGUGAGUAACCUGCCCUUGACUUUGGGAUAACUUCAGGAAACUGGGGCUAAUACCGGAUAGGAGCUCCUGCUGCAUGGUGGGGGUUGGAAAGUUUCGGCGGUUGGGGAUGGACUCGCGGCUUAUCAGCUUGUUGGUGGGGUAGUGGCUUACCAAGGCUUUGACGGGUAGCCGGCCUGAGAGGGUGACCGGCCACAUUGGGACUGAGAUACGGCCCAGACUCCUACGGGAGGCAGAAGUGGGGAAUAUUGCAAAAGGGGCGGAAGCCUGAUGCAGCAACGCCGGGUGCGGGAUGACGGCCUUCGGGUGGUAAACCGCUUUCGCCUGUGACGAAGCGUGAGUGACGGAAAUGGGUAAAGAAGCACCGGCUAACUACGU
rnacentral:rRNA from 1 species